AACGAACGUUGGCGGCGUGGAUUAGGCAUGCAAGUCGAACGCGAAAGUCGGACUUCGGUCUGGCGAGUAGAGUGGCGAACGGGUGAGUAACGCGUGGGCAAUCUACCCUGAAGUGGGGAAUAACCAUUCUAACGAGUGGCUAAUACCGCAUGAGCCCAUUCCCCCGCAUGUGGGGAUGGGGAAAGGUGGGGAUCUUCGGACCUGCCGCUUCAGGAGGAGCCCGCGUCCCAUUAGCUUGUUGGCGGGGUAACGGCCCACCAAGGCGACGAUGGGUAGCCGAUCUGAGAGGAUGACCGGCCACACUGGGACUGAGAUACGGCCCAG
rnacentral:rRNA from 1 species